GAUGAACGCUAGCGGGAGGCUUAACACAUGCAAGUCGAGCGGGAUUAGCAGCAAUGCUAUGAGAGCGGCGCACGGGUGCGUAACGCGUAUGCAACCUGCCUUAUACAGGGGAAUAGCCCAUGGAAACGUGGAUUAACGUCCCAUAGUAUCAAGAUAUCGCAUGGUAUUUUGAUUAAAACUGAGGUGGUAUAAGAUGGGCAUGCGUCUGAUUAGGUAGUUGGUGAGGUAACGGCUCACCAAGCCGACGAUCAGUAGGGGUUCUGAGAGGAUUACCCCCCANACUGGUACUGAGACACGGACCAGACUCCUACGGGAGCAGCAGUGAGGAAUAUUGGUCAAUGGCCGGAAGGCUGAACCAGCCAUCCCGCGUGCAGGAUGACGGCCCUAUGGGUUGUAAACUGCUUUUGACCUGAAGAAUAGGCCCUACGAGUUGGGAUUUGCCGGUAAGGUAUGAAUAAGCAUCGGCUAGCU
rnacentral:rRNA from 1 species